rnacentral:lncRNA from 1 species
CGGCAGGCGAUGUACAAAUGAAAGCGCGCUUUCUAAAUUUCCAAAGCACUAAAGGGAGAGAAAUGCGCAAUUACUGUGGGAUUCGCCCAGAGGAGCAGCCUCAGGAGUUGAAGGGGAUCCUGUCCCUCCCAGAGGAAAGCUCACGAUUGGAUUGGAACUUCUAGCGACUGCCUGAGCUUUAAACUCUGCAAAUAUUUGUGUCCUUCACAAAAAAAGGCGUUCCUCAGUCUACCUCCAACCUCGCCGGGCAACUUAUCUUUCCCAAGUUCACAGCCUGACUCCGGAUCUCUUGGUCUCUUGUGAUCUUGCAGCAAUUCAGCAGAAAAGACUCGGUUUGGGUUUUGGUUUGUGAUGGCUAAUAAUGGGGGUUUUACCCCCCUGAUGUUUGGGGGAUUUGUGCUUGUUUUAUGAUUACUAUUUUUCUUGUUUCCUGCAGUCAAGGAAAACUGUCUGUGUUACAAGCAAACUUACUGUCCCCUGCCUCAGGGACGUGAGUUCCAGUCCUGGACACUUUACUUUCUCUCUCUCCGGUCUUCCCUGGCCCACGGUCAGUUUCUUAACUCUCCUUGUCCUUGAUCUUUUCCCGAAAUGCCUGGACCCUCGCCUUAGCCCCUCCUCCGAUUUGCCCCUUUCUUUAAUUUGUCUUGUGUGUUAGCGCUGGGUCAGCGCGCCCUUUGUGCUGAGGUCCUGGGCCGGUGUGUGUGUGUGCGUGCGUGCGUGUGUGUUGUAGUGUGUGUUUCUUUUGUUAUUUUCUCCCCUAACACCGCAGAAAUGAAACACACAUGCAGCUCUGUCGCCUCAUAUUUUCAGAUGUUUUUCACACUAUUGUCUGCUCCAGCCCGUUGAAAGUGCAAAGUGAAAACAGAUGCAUCCAAAAAAUUUUUUUUGAAAGGGACAAUCCUAGGAUGGAGACUAACCCCUCGAAUACAGAUAAGCAAUAAAUAUUGUAUCAGAUUUAUAACGUGCAUCGAGCAGUCUUGAUUAGCACCAAGGUGAGCUUUGGUGAGAUUUUUAUCAUUUCCAUGUGUCUGGACUACAAGAAGAAAUCACUGGGGGAAGAGCUCUAUAAAUCAGCGUCCAUGUCAAGACAAAUCAAAAUAAUGCCUCUAUUAUUUCAAUCAAUAAACCAUUUUUAUUCCCAACAUCUGAUACACACAGUGUGUGUCCGUCUGUUUGUAUUUGGAAUUGGCAGCCUUGCCUUAUACCAAAACAAACCUUUCAAGACGUGUCAAUGAAAUUAAAAUUUUUAAAAGGAGAAUUCAAUGUGACCCUCCUUCCCUUUCGAGCUACUCCAUUCUCCCCUUUUUAAGCCGCACACCCCAAGUCAGUAGGAGAGCUUUGCAACUCUGCAAAGGAUGAAAUUGCUUUGAGAAUUUCAGAGAAAAGGGGUGGCGGGUGCUAUUAGGGAAGAGAAACCGAAAGCGGCGACAGGCAACGACUGGGACUGAGGAAAGCCUCCCUGGCUCCUGGCUCCAAGAUAUUCCAGAGGACGGUCCUAGGGCGGUCUCAGGAGGGUGUGACAGGGUGCUCCCGCGCUCUGCUAAAAACCAAAACCACCACCUCCCACCACUGCCACCAAGAUUUUUCCAGCAGGUGUAAGGCUGACUGGCUGUAGGGCGUUAAUUGGGGCGAGGCUAGCUGGAGAAAGAUGGGGGGCGGGGGCGGGAGACGAGGAAGAGUGGGGGAGAGGAGGGAAGAAAGGGAGAGAGAGAGAGCGACUGACUCUGGUUGACUGGCGGGUGGCUUUUGUUAGUUUCAGGCAGAUUUCAAGACUUGUUUCUCAAAAUGUCCUGCAAUUUUGGCUUCCGCGGCAGUUUGUGAGAUGGGGCCACAAUUCUUGAUUGAUGAUAGGAAAGUAGAGAAGGAGAGAUGAUUCGUCUAUGAGUCAACAUUGUCGAUAGCUAGAGUCUUGGUAUUCCCAUAGCUUCCUUGGUUAUUUUGUUUCCAAAUUUGCACACCCAGGAACCAAAUCUCAAUGAUCCUUUUGUUGCUGAAGGUUCAUCCUCUCCUGUUCCAUCUGUCCGCCAUAAACACAUAAUUCUGACUGCCCCAUUCCUAAUCCAUUUCUUUCCUUUGGAAUGGGAAGAAGGAAAUGAAAAGUACUCCCAGAUGGAAACCGAAACGGCGUCAGAUCCAGAAUAGUCUUUGUUUGGAUUCAACAGCUGUCUGCCCACCACGCCCUCAGUCCCCAAGUCCAAAGCGCAUCCUCGGGGUUUCAUUUGAGAAAGGGAGAAAAAAGAAACACUUCAAAAUCUGUAUUUUUACAAGCAGGAUUUCACAAUCCUUGGGAACUUUGAGACUUGAAUGGUUAAUCUCUCAGACGAAAUUAUCACCCCAACGACUGUUCACAGAUUAGUCGAUGCAAAUGUUAAAAACGUGUUGGCAAGCUGGAUGAGCAGGUUUGUAUUUUACCCUGAAAAGCUUCAUGAUUUCUCUCCCUGACUCGCUCCGUUCCUUCCCUCUCAGCCUCAGUGCAUUGUAUGUUGAAGGGGCGGGGGAGGGAGAGAUGGGGAAAGCUUAAGCGAUGGGAACCUUGAGGCCCAGGGAUUUCAAGGAAAGCGAAAUGAACCAGGCAGGGAGGUGCAUGUUCUCUGUUCAUUUCUUUCUCUAAUGCGUCUCUCCUCCGGGUCAGAGCGCUAAUGACUACCUCGUUCCUACGAUUUAGGACGCGGGUGCUUUCACACGAAAGACACGAGGUCCUCUAGUUUUUCCUUCUUCGCUCCUCUAGCUUCUUUUUUACCCUCUUCCUUUCCUUCCUCCCUGGCCCCGAGCCCCCACCCCCUACACACACACACACACACACACACACACACACACACACACCCGUCUCCGAGCUCUGCCUCUCCUUCCCCAGUUUCCACUCCCCUGUAGUUUCCCUCUCCUUCGCCUCCUACUUUCCAGGAGGGAUUUCUAAUCCCAUUCUAGUGCUGCCUGAAGGCACGUUCCGCUUUCCAAAGGCCUUUUUCUGUUCCCUUUCAGGUCAUGGAUUCAGGAGCCCAGGAAUAAACCUAAAGCUUUUUUUCCUAACCGUUCAGAUCGAAGGACUUUCGAGGUCCUCCUCAGUUCCACUUUUGCACACCUUAAGCUGCCCCCGUCGACUUGGCAACGUGUCCCGCGGCUCCUCUGCAACAUCAGGCAACCAAGGCCUGCGCUCUCCUUUUCCUGAGGAGACUCCCUGGAACCUUCAAGAACCCCCCGACAGCCACCAGGAUACCCGGUCUGAAUGGUUUCCUACCAAGAAAGACCCCGAAGACCUGCAGUUCUGUCCAGAAACGAGUUUUUAGGGUCACUUGAAUUUGAGCUGCUGCGAGGGCGGUGCUUUAGGGAGCAGAGUUCAAAGAGGAAUUCCUCAGGACCCUAGGCCAGGUCCGCGUUAAAGGGCGCCUUACAAACCUCCUCUCCCCACACUCCCCCGCAGCCCCUUCCCCAACGUUUAAGGCACCGGAUCUUGAGAAGCAAAUCUAGUGCCCAGCUUCAAAUCCCCGCCUUGGAAAAGUACAAAGAGAAAACUGAUUUUUCAAAUCCCAAAGCCCUUUCCUUUUAAGCAACUUGGAAAAACUCAGCUAUAAACGCUUUCUCCUCUUAUGCUAAAAUUGAAAACUUAUAGAUUUUAGAUGGAAUGAAGAGAAGAUAUAUUCCUUUUCCCUUUAAAUAGCCACAUUUCAAAUUGUGCCAGGCAGCAAUUUCUGCGAAAAAGGAGUGGCGGUUGGGAUUGUUUGGGAGAUGGAGUUUUAUUUGUUCCCAUUUAUUUUGUUUUAUUUUUGUUUUAUUUUUUUCUUUGAGUUUCUUUGUUAUUUUGAGAUUCAUCUAAGAGACUCAGAAUUCCACUCUGAAUAAAGCACUUUUUGUUGUUUCAAAAUUUCAAACUGACAUAAGUGUUGGAUCAUCAGUUUUCCCUUUGUCUGCCCUAGUUGUAAAUAAUGGCUUUGAGAUUAGCUAAUUAAGGGGCAUUAAUCACUGAUAGAAAGGGAAUAAAUCAAAGCCUUGUUCUAAAUUUCAAACUUGCCUGUAUAGAUGUGCAUAGCUACUCUAUCUGGAGCAGAUAGGUGCUGUUUGAAUUACUGUUCUUCAGAGUAAACCAAAUCCACUUCGCUUUUAAAAAAUGAAUAUUGUAUUUAUACAGCCUGG